UUGGGGUACUCGAGUGGCGAACGGGUGAGUAACACGUGGGUGAUCUGCCCUGCACUUUGGGAUAAGCCUGGGAAACUGGGUCUAAUACGAAUAUGCCACGCGCUUCAUGGUGUGUGGUGGAAAGCUUUUGCGGUGUGGGAUGGGCCCGCGGCCUAUCAGCUUGUUGGUGGGGUAAUGGCCUACCAAGGCGACGACGGGUAGCCGGCCUGAGAGGGUGACCGGCCACACUGGGACUGAGAUACGGCCCAGACUCCUACGGGAGGCAGCAGUGGGGAAUAUUGCACAAUGGGCGCAAGCCUGAUGCAGCGACGCCGCGUGAGGGAUGACGGCCUUCGGGUUGUAAACCUCUUUCAAUAGGGACGAAGCGCAAGUGACGGUACCUAUAGAAGAAGCACCGGCCAACUACGUGCCAGCAGCCGCGGUAAUACGUAGGGUGCGAGCGUUGUCCGGAAUUACUGGGCGUAAAGAGCUCGUAGGUGGUUUGUCGCGUUGUUCGUGAAAACUCACAGCUUAACUGUGGGCGUGCGGGCGAUACGGGCAGACUAGAGUACUGCAGGGGAGACUGGAAUUCCUGGUGUAGCGGUGGAAUGCGCAGAUAUCAGGAGGAACACCGGUGGCGAAGGCGGGUCUCUGGGCAGUAACUGACGCUGAGGAGCGAAAGCGUGGGGAGCGAACAGGAUUAGAUACCCUGGUAGUCCACGCCGUAAACGGUGGGUACUAGGUGUGGGUUCCUUCCUUGGGAUCCGUGCCGUAGCUAACGCAUUAAGUACCCCGCCUGGGGAGUACGGCCGCAAGGCUAAAACUCAAAGGAAUUGACGGGGGCCCGCACAAGCGGCGGAGCAUGUGGAUUAAUUCGAUGCAACGCGAAGAACCUUACCUGGGUUUGACAUGCACAGGACGCCGGCAGAGAUGUCGGUUCCCUUGUGGCCUGUGUGCAGGUGGUGCAUGGCUGUCGUCAGCUCGUGUCGUGAGAUGUUGGGUUAAGUCCCGCAACGAGCGCAACCCUUGUCCUAUGUUGCCAGCGGGUUAUGCCGGGGACUCGUAGGAGACUGCCGGGGUCAACUCGGAGGAAGGUGGGGAUGACGUCAAGUCAUCAUGCCCCUUAUGUCCAGGGCUUCACACAUGCUACAAUGGCCGGUACAAAGGGCUGCGAUGCCGUGAGGUGGAGCGAAUCCUUUCAAAGCCGGUCUCAGUUCGGAUCGGGGUCUGANUCAACUCGACCAGCCGUGAAGUCGGAGUCGCAUAGUAAUCGCAGAUCAGCAACGCUGCGGUGAAUACGUUCCCGGGCCUUGUACACACCGCC
rnacentral:rRNA from 1 species